CAGUCACAAUCCUAUUUACUUGUCCAAUUCCAUCCCCCAGCCCAUAUACAUUCCAGAGAUCUUAUUGUUUAAAUCAGAGUAUUAUGAGGUGAGACUCAACUGUACACCAAGUAACAUGACAGCAGAAAACUGUCACAAAAAUGGGUUAUGAAGUAGAGAUUCUUGAAGUCAAAGAAUCUUAAGGACUGAACAGCUAGGAGCCAAGGAAGUACACAGUCAGAGGGACCAUGAGCUCUUCCUAUGAGGACAAAGUAAACGCCAAGUCCUGAGCUCCAAAGGUAAAGGAAGAGGGAGGCUGAACAGGGAUAUGAGGACAUUACAGAUAGUAUGUUCCAUCCCCCACUAUGAAUCAUUCCCUAGUCUUGGGACUUGCCUCCAGAAUUCCAGCAAGACAAAUGGAAUCACAAUCUAAAUGAACACUCAAGUGUCUUCCAGAUUUCAAGUUGCCUCAGAAGGAAGUUGAUUAAGAGGAAUGGAGAGAAUCAGAGAAGAUAAAUUAGGCUAAUAGCCCUCGUAUCCUGAAAAGAGGCUUUGCUAAAAAAACCGAUCUCAGACAAGACAGACGUCCAUUUUGUAGGACUAUUUUGAACCCUUCCUGAAAGAAGGUCUGGAUGGCUUUAGGGCAGAAGGUAGCUCUAAAGGAGGCCUAGCCAAGGAACAAGGGGGACAAUAGACUGUAUACAUAGAUAGCUUCCCGUUGCUUUGGGAUAUUUUGAGUCAGUAUAGGAAAGAAAGUAGCCCAUAACCCUCCCUCUCUAGGAGGGUGGGACUAGUUUUAAGAGGUUAUGCUACAGUCAGACCCAGAGCUUGAGCCAACCAGAUAAGGUCCUUCUUGCAGGCUUCCAUUGUAAGAGACACUAAGUCAAGAAUUAAGAAUGCCCUUCCUAAUGAAAGCAGGGUCAAUGCUCCCACCCCAGCCCCAUAGCUAGCAUCAUCUUUGAGAGUUAUUCCCAGUCUCAUGUUUUCCAACCCACAACAAGCCAAGUAAAGGAAGCCAGGAAAGGAG
rnacentral:lncRNA from 1 species